AGGCCUUGCGCUCAUUGAGCGGCCGAUAUCAGAUUAGCUAGUUGGUGGGGUAAAAGCUCACCAAGGCGACGAUCUGUAGCGGGUCUGAGAGGAUGAUCCGCCACACUGGAACUGAGACACGGUCCAGACUCCUACGGGAGGCAGCAGUGGGGAAUUUUGGACAAUGGGGGCAACCCUGAUCCAGCCAUGCCGCGUGAGUGAAGAAGGCCUUCGGGUUGUAAAGCUCUUUCAGCCGGGAAGAAAACGCAUGGGUCAAUACCCUGUGUGGAUGACGGUACCGGAAUAAGAAGCACCGGCUAACUACGUGCCAGCAGCCGCGGUAAUACGUAGGGUGCGAGCGUUAAUCGGAAUUACUGGGCGUAAAGCGCGCGCAGGCGGUUUUGUAAGACAGGCGUGAAAUCCCCGGGCUUAACCUGGGAACUGCGUUUGUGACUGCAAGGCUAGAGUACGGCAGAAGGGGGUGGAAUUCCACGUGUAGCAGUGAAAUGCGUAGAGAUGUGGAGGAACACCAAUGGCGAAGGCAGCCCCCUGGGUCGAUACUGACGCUCAUGCACGAAAGCGUGGGUAGCAAACAGGAUUAGAUACCCUGGUAGUCCACGCCCUAAACGAUGUCAACUAGGUGUUGGGUGGGUAAAACCAUUUAGUACCGGAGCUAACGCGUGAAGUUGACCGCCUGGGGAGUACGGCCGCAAGGUUAAAACUCAAAGGAAUUGACGGGGACCCGCACAAGCGGUGGAUGAUGUGGAUUAAUUCGAUGCAACGCGAAAAACCUUACCUACCCUUGACAUGUCAGGAACUUGCCAGAGAUGGCUUGGUGCUCGAAAGAGAACCUGAACACAGGUGCUGCAUGGCUGUCGUCAGCUCGUGUCGUGAGAUGUUGGGUUAAGUCCCGCAACGAGCGCAACCCUUGUCGUUAAUUGCCAUCAUUUAGUUGGGCACUUUAACGAGACUGCCGGUGACAAACCGGAGGAAGGUGGGGAUGACGUCAAGUCCUCAUGGCCCUUAUGGGUAGGGCUUCACACGUCAUACAAUGGUCGGCACAAAGGGUCGCCAACCCGCGAGGGGGAGCCAAUCCCAUAAAGCCGAUCGUAGUCCGGAUUGCAGGCUGCAACUCGCCUGCAUGAAGUCGGAAUCGCUAGUAAUCGUGGAUCAGCAUGUCACGGUGAAUACGUUCCCGGGUCUUGUACACACCGCCCGUCACACCAUGGGAGCGGGUUCCGCCAGAAGUAGGUAGCCUAACCGCAAGGGGGGCGCUUACCACGGCGGGGUUCGUGACUGGGGUGAAGUCGUAACAAGGUA
rnacentral:rRNA from 1 species